rnacentral:SRP_RNA from 1 species
GCUGGGUGUGGUGGGGGGCACCUGUAAUCCCAGCUACUCAGGAGGCUGAGGCAGGAGAAUUGCUUGAACCCAGGAGGCGGAGGCUGCAGUGAGCUGAGAUUACAACACUGCACUCCAGCCUGGGUGACACGGCAAGACUCUGUCUCAA